rnacentral:rRNA from 1 species
GAUGAACGCUAGCGGCAGGCCUAACACAUGCAAGUCGAGGGGUAACUAGAGUGAUAGCAAUAUUACUUUGGCUAGACCGGCGCACGGGUGCGUAACACGUAUGCAACCUACCUUAUACUGGGGAAUAACUUCGAGAAAUCGGCGCUAAUACCCCAUAACACUGCGGAGAGGCAUCUCUUUGCAGUUAAAGCUCCGGCGGUAUAAGAUGGGCAUGUGUCCAAUUAGCUAGUUGGUGAGGUAACGGCUCACCAAGGCUACGAUUGGUAGGGGUUCUGAGAGGAUGAUCCCCCACACUGGUACUGGGACACGGACCAGACUCCUACGGGAGGCAGCAGUGAGGAAUAUUGCGCAAUGGACGAAAGUCUGACGCAGCCAUGCCGCGUGCAGGAUGACGGCCCUAUGGGUUGUAAACUGCUUUUGUACGGGAAUAAACCCUUCUACGUGUAGGAGGCUGAAGGUACCGUAAGAAUAAGCACCGGCUAACUCCGCGCCAGCAGCCGCGGUAA